rnacentral:rRNA from 1 species
CCUACGGGAGGCAGCAGUGAGGAAUAUUGGUCAAUGGACGCAAGUCUGAACCAGCCAUGCCGCGUGCAGGAAGACGGCUCUAUGAGUUGUAAACUUCUUUUGUACGAGGGUAAAUCCCGAUACGUGUAUCGUGUUGAAAGUAUCUUACGAAUAAGGAUCGGCUAACUCCGUGCCAGCAGCCGCGGUAAUACGGAGGAUUCAAGCGUUAUCCGGAUUUAUUGGGUUUAAAGGGUGCGUAGGCGGUUAGAUAAGUUAGUUGUGAAAUCACGGGGCUCAACUGCGGCAUUGCAUGUGAUACUGUCGGGCUAGAGUAUAGUUGAGGUAGGCGGAAUGUAUGGUGUAGCGGUGAAAUGCAUAGAGAUCAUACAGAACACCGAUUGCGAAGGCAGCUUACCAAACUACGACUGACGUUGAGGCACGAAAGCGUGGGGAGCAAACAGGAUUAGAUACCCCAGUAGUC